UACGUAGGGCGCAAGCGUUAUCCGGAAUUAUUGGGCGUAAAGAGCUCGUAGGCGGUGUGUCACGUCGGCCGUGAAAACCUGCAGCUUAACUGUGGGCUUGCGGUCGAUACGGGCAUCACUGGAGUUCGGCAGGGGAGACUGGAAUUCCUGGUGUAGCGGUGAAAUGCGCAGAUAUCAGGAGGAACACCGGUGGCGAAGGCGGGUCUCUGGGCCGAUACUGACGCUGAGGAGCGAAAGCGUGGGGAGCGAACAGG
rnacentral:rRNA from 1 species